GAUGAACGCUGGCGGCGCGCUUAACACAUGCAAGUCGAACGGUGAAGCAGGAGCUUGCUCUUGUGGAUCAGUGGCGAACGGGUGAGUAACACGUGAGCAACCUGCCCCUGACUCUGGGAUAAGCGCUGGAAACGGCGUCUAAUACUGGAUAUGUGAUGUGACCGCAUGGUCUGCAUCUGGAAAGAAUUUCGGUUGGGGAUGGGCUCGCGGCCUAUCAGCUUGUUGGUGAGGUAAUGGCGCACCAAGGCGUCGACGGGUAGCCGGCCUGAGAGGGUGACCGGCCACACUGGGACCGAGACACGGCCCAGACUCCUACGGGAGGCAGCAGUGGGGAAUAUUGCACAAUGGGCGGAAGCCUGAUGCAGCAACGCCGCGUGAGGGAUGACGGCCUUCGAGUUGUAAACCUCUUUUAGCAGGGAAGAAGCGAAAGUGACGGUACCUGCAGAAAAAGCACCGGCUAACUACGUGCCAGCCGCCGCGGUAA
rnacentral:rRNA from 1 species